rnacentral:rRNA from 1 species
CCCUUAGAUGUUCUGGGCCGCACGCGCGCUACACUGACUGACUCAACGAGUUUACAACCUGUGCCGAAAGGUAUGGGUAAUCUUUUGAAAUUCAGUCGUAAUGGGGCUAGAUUAUUGCAACUAUUAAUCUUCAACGAGGAAUGCCUAGUAAGCGCGAAUCAUCAGUUCGCGUUGAUUACGUCCCUGCCCUUUGUACACACCGCCCGUCGCUCCUACCGAUUGAAUGGUCCGGUGAAAAUUUCGGACAGUGACGAUGCUGGCGGUCCGCCGCCGGCGCUGUCGCUGGAAGAUCUUUAAACCUUAUCAUUUAGAGGAAGGAGAAGUCGUAACA